CGCGGCCUAUCAGCUUGUUGGUGGGGUGAUGGCCUACCAAGGCGGUGACGGGUAGCCGGCCUGAGAGGGCGACCGGCCACACUGGGACUGAGACACGGCCCAGACUCCUGCGGGAGGCAGCAGUGGGGAAUAUUGCACAAUGGGCGAAAGCCUGAUGCAGCGACGCCGCGUGAGGGAUGACGGCCUUCGGGUUGUAAACCUCUUUCAGCAGGGACCAAGCGCAAGUGAGUGUACCUGCAGAAGAAGCACCGGCUAACUACGUGCCAGCAGCCGCGGUAAUACGUAGGGUGCGAGCGUUGUCCGGAUUUAUUGGGCGUAAAGGGCUCGUAGGCGGCCUGUCGCGUCGGAAGUGAAAGCCCACUGCUUAACGGUGGGUCUGCUUCCGGUACGGGCAGGCUGGAGUAUGGCAGGGGAGACUGGAAUUCCUGGUGUAGCGGUGGAAUGCGCAGAUAUCAGGAGGAACACCGGUGGCGAAGGCGGGUCUCUGGGCCAUUACUGACGCUGAGGAGCGAAAGCGUGGGGAGCGAACAGGAUUAGGUACCCUGGUAGUCCACGCCGUAAACGUUGGGCGCUAGGUGUGGGGACUGUUUCCACGGUCUC
rnacentral:rRNA from 1 species